GGCCGCGUGGCGCAUUGAUAACGCGUCUGCCUACGGAGCAGAAGAUUGCAGGUUCGAGUCCUGCCGUGGUCG
rfam:Angiostrongylus costaricensis strain Costa Rica genome assembly, scaffold: ACOC_scaffold0002038